UGUUGCCGCGAGAGGAACGCGUGGAGGGUGAGUCGCGUCGGCCCGCGGUGGAUGAUGUCGCGACAGUGAACGUGUGCCGGCAAUAUGCACGCGCUCUUCGGUGAACAGAGCCCGUACGCGUACCGCGGAGCGGCCGCCGGCGGCUACUCGGCCGGAGUGACCCCCUACACCUACGAACAAUACCGCUACGGCUACGGAGCCCCCUAUCUUCAUCCUCACCAGCAACAUGUCGGCACCCCCAAAGAUAUGGUUAAGCCGCCCUACUCCUACAUCGCCCUCAUAGCCAUGGCCAUACAGAAUGCACCCGAUCGCCGCAUCACCCUCAACGGCAUAUAUCAAUUUAUAAUGGAGCGAUUUCCUUAUUAUAGAGAGAACAAACAAGGCUGGCAAAAUUCUAUAAGACACAACCUAAGUCUUAAUGAGUGCUUCGUGAAAGUGGCUCGGGACGAUAAGAAACCUGGAAAGGGUAGUUACUGGACUUUAGAUCCGGAUUCAUAUAACAUGUUUGACAACGGGUCUUAUUUGCGACGACGCCGCCGUUUUAAAAAGAAGGAUGCAUUGAAAGAAAAAGAAGAGGCCCUCAAACGGCAGCAGCAGUUGCAACAAGCGCAGGAGGCGUUCGCCGCACAAGAGGCGCUAAGUGCGGCGGACUCGCUCACCCAGCCGCGCGAUGUAAAACCGGACGUGAAGCCGCGGAUCUUCGAGUGCCGCCCUAAAAGAGAGCCGGGGGCGGAGUGCCUCCGAUACGACAAACCCACAGAUUCUAUGGAGGAGUUCAGCGAACCUCGACUACCACCGUCUGCGGUUUACUGUUCCCCUCAGCCUUAUUCGUUGGCGGCGGAAGAAUUUCGUGCCGCUACGUCGGGUUGGUACGCGGCCCCUGAGCCUCCAGCCGAACAAUUACCGCCGGCUUUUCGAGACCUUUUUGAGCCGCCGAGUUGUCAGCUGGCCGGGUUCCGCGGCAGCUCGCCCACUGCCGACGCCUACCGCGGGUCGCCGCCUCCACAUCACCACUACCGCACGCCUGCACCUGCCUAUUACCAUCACCAAGCGUGUGUGGCUGCAGCACCCGCUCCAGCUCACAAGUCCUACUGAGACUUUGCUUUCAGGAGACCGGCAUCAUACGGCGCCGAACGGAUUUAGCCGCGCGCGUCAGUUCCAGAUCGGAUAAAUAUAGCGCAGUAGCCGGAGAUGCCGUGGAGGCAAGUGCCGGCGCGUCGAUAACCACUGUUUACAGAUCGGCGGCCAUCCCUGCCGCCUCCCGCUCCGUUAACACCUAUAGGUAAAACGGAUAAGGAAACAACGGGAGGCGGAUGCAGGGAGAUUUGAGAUAAAGUCGGAAACUAUGUGCAUGGUGAUUGUGGACUGCAACAAGAUGCACUGAUUGUGUAAACAUGUAACAUUUGCGCUAUAGUUUAUCUCUGGAGAACUGUAGAUAUUAUUUAUAGUGCAACAUCAGUUAUCUAAACGAUAACUCCUUAGUUAAUAAUAUCGGUGACGACUCGAGUUCGAAUUUAUGUUUUAUUAGGAAAAAUGUUCAAUGUGAC